CCUACGGGUGGCAGCAGUAGGGAAUAUUGCUCAAUGGGGGAAACCCUGAAGCAGCAACGCCGCGUGGAGGAUGAAGGUUUUCGGAUUGUAAACUCCUUUUGUUAGAGAAGAUAAUGACGGUAUCUAACGAAUAACCACCGGCUAACUCCGUGCCAGCAGCCGCGGUAAUACGGAGGGUGCAAGCGUUACUCGGAAUCACUGGGCGUAAAGGGCGCGUAGGCGGGAUAGCAAGUCAGAUGUGAAAUCCUAUGGCUUAACCAUAGAACUGCAUUUGAAACUGUUAGUCUAGAGUAUGGGAGAGGUAGGUGGAAUUCUUGGUGUAGGGGUAAAAUCCGUAGAGAUAAAGAGGAAUACUCAUUGCGAAGGCGACCUGCUAGAACAUAACUGACGCUGAUGCGCGAAAGCGUGGGGAGCAAACAGGAUUAGAUACCCGGGUAGUC
rnacentral:rRNA from 1 species